GGUCCUUUAGUUUAUAAAAAUGUUGAAUUGCAAACUCAGAGAUAGCUUGUCUAAGGGCUU
rnacentral:tRNA from 2 species